rnacentral:rRNA from 1 species
UACAGAGGGUGCGAGCGUUGUUCGGAAUCAUUGGGCGUAAAGCGCUUGUAUGCGGCCUGUCAAGUCGCGUGUGAAAUCCCUUGGCUUAACCAAGGAAGUGCGCGCGAAACUGGCGGGCUUGAGUGCCGGAGAGGGUCGCGGAAUUCCCGGUGUAGAGGUGAAAUUCGUAGAUAUCGGGAGGAACACCAGUGGCGAAGGCGGCGACCUGGACGGACACUGACGCUGAGACGCGAAAGCGUGGGGAGCAAACAGG